GGUCUAGGUAUAAGCAUCAUACUGUGAAACUGCGAAUGGCUCAUUAAAUCAGUUAUCGUUUAUUUGAUAGUACCUUUACCUGGAUAACCGUGGUAAUUCUAGAGCUAAUACAUGCUAAAAACCUCGACUUCGGAAGGGGUGUAUUUAUUAGAUAAAAAACCAAUGCCCUUCGGGGCUCCUUGGUGAUUCAUAAUAACUUAACGAAUCGCAUGGCCUUGCGCCGGCGAUGGUUCAUUCAAAUUUCUGCCCUAUCAACUUUCGAUGGUAGGAUAGUGGCCUACCAUGGUCUUAACGGGUAACGGGGAAUUAGGGUUCUAUUCCGGAGAGGGAGCCUGAGAAACGGCUACCACAUCCAAGGAAGGCAGCAGGCGCGCAAAUUACCCAAUCCCAAUUCGGGGAGGUAGUGACAAUAAAUACUGAUACGGGGCUCUUUUGGGUCUCGUAAUUGGAAUGAGUACAAUCUAAAUCCCUUAACGAGGAACAAUUGGAGGGCAAGUCUGGUGCCAGCAGCCGCGGUAAUUCCAGCUCCAAUAGCGUAUAUUAAAGUUGUUGCCGUUAAAAAGCUCGUAGUUGAACCUUGGAUCUGGCUGAUCUGUCCUCCUAAUCGAGCGCACGGAUUCGGUCGGAUCUUUCCUUCUGGGGAGCCCUAUGCCCUUCAUUGGGUGUAGUGGGGAACCAGGACUUUUACCUUGAAAAAAUUAGAGUGUUCAAAGCAGGCCUUUGCUCGAAUACAUUAGCAUGGAAUAAUAGAAUAGGACAUCGGUUCUAUUUUGUUGGUUUCUAGGACCGCUGUAAUGAUUAAUAGGGAUAGUCGGGGGCGUCAGUAUUCAAUUGUCAGAGGUGAAAUUCUUGGAUUUAUUGAAGACUAACUACUGCGAAAGCAUUCGCCAAGGAUGUUUUCAUUAAUCAGUGAACGAAAGUUAGGGGAUCGAAGACGAUCAGAUACCGUCGUAGUCUUAACCAUAAACUAUGCCGACUAGGGAUCGGACGGUGGUUUUUUUAUGCCCCGUUCGGCACCUUACGAGAAAUCAAAGUUUUGGGCUCGGGGGAG
rnacentral:rRNA from 1 species